ensembl:piRNA 21ur-1175 ncRNA
UGUUCCUCUGUUUUCCAUCUG